CACGUAGGGUGCGAGCGUUUGUCCGGAAUUAUUGGGCGUAAAGAGCUCGUAGGCGGUGUGUCGCGUCGGCCGUGAAAACCUGCAGCUUAACUGUGGGCUUGCGGUCGAUACGGGCAUCACUGGAGUUCGGCAGGGGAGACUGGAAUUCCUGGUGUAGCGGUGAAAUGCGCAGAUAUCAGGAGGAACACCGGUGGCGAAGGCGGGUCUCUGGGCCGAUACUGACGC
rnacentral:rRNA from 1 species